UGUGGGGCUCGAUCCCAGGACCCUGGGAUCAUGACCUGAGCCAAAGGCAGACGCUUAACCAACUGAGGCAUCCAGGGGUCCCUAAGCUGGUGUUUUUUUAAAGCUGGAUUAUAUGUGUGUAGCAAUUUGACCCUCCAGCAUGUGUAAUCAAAGGAUGUAUACACCUACAUUAGUUGAAAAGGACAUACUGUAGAAGAUACAAAGUAUCUUGGUAAUUUCUUGUUCAAGGGGCAUAUUAUCUGGAAAGGGAGCAGGAAAGGAUUCACUUAGUUUUACACAUGUAAAAUAGGAUAUGGAGACUUUUUUUUAAAAGGUUCGUAUCUUACCUCUCCACUUGGAUUAUAAAUGUCUAUCUGGAUAGUUUAUAGUUUUAUAUUCCCCAGCACAUAGUAAAAUAGAAAUGAAUUACAUUGCUUUGAAAGGUGAUUGAAAGUGAGUGUAUGACGUAUUAAUGACCUAACAGACUAAUCAACCAAACAUAUUUUUGUCACUGAAGGAAAGGAGCUAUGGGAAAGAAAUUUCAAAGAUCAGUAUUAUCCCAAGAAACAUAAAAAAAAAAAAAAAAGAAUCCUGAAUAGAGGCCUCUGGCAAUAUAGAAUGGGCUGAUCAGUGAAGGAAUAGGCUCCACCGAACAAGCCCAAUUAAUGGAAGGAAAUGAGGUCACUUUAAAAAUUGAGGACAGUGUGUUAAAUGGGUGGAGGUGAGAUUCGGUCAGAUGUCGUGGAGAAGAGCCCUGACUCUGGUCCACCGUCUGCCACCUGUUAGAGGGGCCAGAGUCUCAGGGAUCCCAGCUCCACUGUGAUGUGAUGAACGGAGACAUGAUGUAGCAUCAUCAUCUUCGUUGUCUUGUGUCAAUGGGGCCUGUGUCAUCUCUUCUGUACUCAGGGUUCUUUCCCUUGCUUCAGUAAAGAUCUAUCCAGCUUCAAAACAGUCCUACUUACAAGGGAAAAGAGUGGAAAUUUGCCAUGAAGUGGCUGUUUCAUAAUUGAAUUCCAAACUUGAGUCAAUUACUCCAUUCACUACUACAAACAUCUUUUUGAGCAUCUGCACUGUGCUCGGUACUGUUGUAGACAUGGGAUACUCUGGUGAACAAAACAUGGAAACUAAUGGCCUCUAACAGGAUGGAUGCGGGGCAGAUGCUCUUCAAAGAAUCAGAAAUGGAUUCUUCUUUGACUCAGUCUUCAAGUUCUUUCCGCUCCUUGUCUUGUGAAUCUGCACAUCCUAUCAUGGUGGUUGGCGUCGUCCUACUUAAAUCUGCAGUCAGUGUCCCUGAAUGGGCUGCCCAGCCUACUCUGAACCUGAGGACCAGGUGCUGAACUCACCUUUCCGAGGUUGGUAGCCCAGGUAAAUAAAACGUUUUAGUGCGAUAGAUUCCAUAUUAUCCUCUUUAAGAAGGUGGUCUCAGCUUACAUCGUCUACUGCUCCACCCCCUUGCCUUCAUAAAAAUCAGUUCUAACUAACACUGAGUGUGCCGUUUGCCAAAUGAUAACCACAUUGUUUUAUUACUUAGUAUUCUGAAAUGUUCCAUUUCCAUCUUGGUGUAUUUUAGGGAAAUGCUCUUGUACAUUUGAAGCCUCAUCACUUUCUCUGGGUACCACGUUCUCAGCUGUUGCACAUGGUGAUGAGUGAGGGUACUGAGGUCAGGGUUGGGGAUCUGUUGGGGUCCAGACUCUGCCUUGUCUGGCUCAGUGGGGUUGGGUGUAUUAGUCUGCUUGGGCUGUCAUAACAAAGCACAGACUUGGUGGUUGAAACAGCAGACGUUUCUUGCUCACAGUUCUGGAGGCUAAAGUGUGAGAUCAAGUCCACAGGGUUGGUUCCUUCUGAGGUCUCGCCUUGGCUUGUAGAUGACCACACACCCUUUGUGUGUGCUUUAGGCUGGAAAAUGAAGUGGAAGCUCUUCAGCUGUUCCUCAUGGAGGACCAUGGAGGUUCAAGUGAAAAGGAGAGUUGAUUUUUGGCGGGAUGUGCCUUGAAUGUCUCUAAUAAAAGUUGCGUUCACUGAUUUCUGCCCAGGAGUAUCCCUGCCUUUGAGCUGUACACCUUUUCCUCUGAUAAUGUUACAGAGAGUCAGUUAGGAAGUUUCUGGGGCUUGGACCAAGGCUGGGGGAUAAGGGACCCUGUGAAUUUGGAGGAAAUGAGGAAAAUUGUAGAAAGUGGUUAAGGUUAAGGUUCCUGAGCAAGAUAUUUGAUUCCAAAGGCUUAGUGUGACAUAAUAAGAAAUACAUAUUUGGUCUCUGCUCCCAGUUCCUGACUCAGAGCUCCUAAAACCCUUGUAAUUUCCUGAGCCACGGUGGUGAUAGGAGUAUCUUACACAGAGCUGUUAAAUCCCUUGAAACUUCCUGGUGAUAGAAGUGUCUUUUCUUCUAAUAAGGUGACUCUUGGUGGGCUCCUGGGUGUAUCCUGGAUUGGGGCUGUUUACCAGAAAGACCACCACCCUUGACUAGAAGCUUGGAACUUUCAGGGCAGGGAGAGGGGCUAGAGAUUAGGUUAAUAAUCAUUCAUAUCUAUCUAUCUACCUACCUACCUACCUACCUAUCUACGUAUCUAUCUAUAAUCAUUUGAAACUUUUGUCUUUAAAAUGCUUACAUGAAUCAAGUAGGUAAUUUUUUUAAAGUAAAGGUAAUAUGUAUAUAUUUUUUUAAAUUGUUGAUAUUUAUGCAUAUAUUAUAUAUAUUCAGCAAACAAGUGAGUUCCCUUUUAUGUUGGGGGUCCUCAAGACCAUCCUCAGGUUUGAUAAUUUGCUAAGACUCAGAACUCAGAAAACUUGUUAUACUCAAGGUUACAUUUACUAUAGAAAGGAUAGAGCUUCAAACAGCAAAGGAAAAGCCACGGUGUGACCUGGGGGUGGUGGCUGUGUGUCAAGUGGUGCCUGAGCCUGUGGAGAAGCUGGAAACUGAAGUCAGCCCUGUGUGUGUCCUGCCCAGCUGAUGUGAUCGAGCCCCAGUAGAGAGUGGACAUCAAGGCUCAGGACUUGCUGACACUGGAGGAUGUGGCUGUGGACUUCACCUGGGAGGAGUGGCCGCUCCUGGCCCCUGCCCAGAAGGACCUGUACCGGGACGUGAUGUUAAAGAAUUAUAGGAACCUGAUGUCAGUGGGGCAUCAAGCUAGCAAACCAGAUGUGCUUUCCAAGCUGGAAUGAGGGCAAGAAGUGUGGCCGAUAGAAGAGGAAGUCCACAGUCGAACCCAUCCAGAAGUCGAAAUUGUUGAUCAUCUGCAGUGAUACUUGCAUACCCAGAGAUUUCUAAAGACAACUAAAUAUGGAACCAUGUGUGAACGUAAUGUCUGAAAAUAUUGUUCAUCUGGACCAACAUCAUUUUCCUUUAAGGCAAAAUCAUGGAAAAACUCUGCCAUCAAAUUUAAAUUCAGUCAGUUAAAACAAACUGUGAAAUAAAGAACCCCAUGUGCAUGGUG